ACUCCUACGGGAGGCAGCAGUAGGAAUUUUCCGCAAUGGACGGAAGUCUGAACCAGCCAUGCCGCGUGCAGGAAGACGGCCUUCUGGGUUGUAAACUGCUUUUAUCAGGGAAGAAUAAGCUUCUUGCGAGAGGUGAUGCCGGUACCUGAGGAAUAAGCACCGGCUAACUCCGUGCCAGCAGCCGCGGUAAUACGGAGGGUGCAAGCGUUGUCCGGAUUUAUUGGGUUUAAAGGGUGCGUAGGCGGCCUGUUAAGUCAGUGGUGAAAGGUAUCAGCUCAACUGAUGACGUGCCAUUGAAACUGGCGGGCUUGAGUACAGACGAGGUAGGCGGAAUUUAUGGUGUAGCGGUGAAAUGCAUAGAUACCAUAAAGAACACCGAUAGCGAAGGCAGCUUACUAGGCUGAGACUGACGCUGAGGCACGAAAGCGUGGGAGCGAACAGGAUUAGAUACCCU
rnacentral:rRNA from 1 species